rnacentral:rRNA from 1 species
ACAGCAGUCGCCGCGGGAAUACAGAGGGUGCAAGCGUUAAUCGGAAUUACUGGGCGUAAAGCGCGCGUAGGUGGUUCGCCAAGUUGGAUGUGAAAUCCCCGGGCUCAACCUGGGAACUGCAUCCAAAACUGGCGAGCUAGAGUAUGGUAGAGGGUGGUGGAAUUUCCUGUGUAGCGGUGAAAUGCGUAGAUAUAGGAAGGAACAUCAGUGGCGAAGGCGACCACCUGGACUGAUACUGACACUGAGGUGCGAAAGCGUGGGGAGCAAACAGGAUUAGAUACCCCUGUAGUCCCUGUCUCUUAUAC